rnacentral:rRNA from 1 species
AAUAGAUACCCGGGUAGUCCACGCCGUAAACGAUGGAUACUAGCUGUUCGUCCGCCUCGGCGGAUGAGUGGCUAAGCGAAAGUGAUAAGUAUCCCACCUGGGGAGUACGAACGCAAGUUUGAAACUCAAAGGAAUUGACGGGGGCCCGCACAAGCGGUGGAGCAUGUGGUUUAAUUCGAUGAUACGCGAGGAACCUUACCAAGGCUUAAAUGUAGAUUGACAGGACUGGAAACAGUUUUUUCUUCGGACAAUUUACAAGGUGCUGCAUGGUUGUCGUCAGCUCGUGCCGUGAGGUGUCAGGUUAAGUCCUAUAACGAGCGCAACCCCUGUUGUUAGUUGCCAGCGAGUGAUGUCGGGAACUCUAACAAGACUGCCAGUGUAAACUGUGAGGAAGGUGGGGGUGACGUCAAAUCAUCACGGCCCUUACGCCUUGGGCUACACACGUGCUACAAUGGCCGGUACAGAGAGCAGCCACUGCGCGAGCAGGAGCGAAUCUAUAAAACCGGUCACAGUUCGGAUCGGAGUCUGCAACUCG